GACGAACGCUGGCGGCGUGCUUAACACAUGCAAGUCGAACGGAAAGGCCCUGCUUUUGUGGGGUGCUCGAGUGGCGAACGGGUGAGUAACACGUGAGUAACCUGCCCUUGACUUUGGGAUAACUUCAGGAAACUGGGGCUAAUACCGGAUAGGAGCUCCUGCUGCAUGGUGGGGUUUGGAAAGUUUCGGCGGUUGGGGAUGGACUCGCGGCUUAUCAGCUUGUUGGUGGGGUAGUGGCUUACCAAGGCUUUGACGGGUAGCCGGCCUGAGAGGGUGACCGGCCACAUUGGGACUGAGAUACGGCCCAGACUCCUACGGGAGGCAGCAGUGGGGAAUAUUGCACAAUGGGCGGAAGCCUGAUGCAGCAACGCCGCGUGCGGGAUGACGGCCUUCGGGUUGUAAACCGCUUUCGCCUGUGACGAAGCGUGAGUGGCGGUAAUGGGUAAAGAAGCACCGGCUAACUACGUG
rnacentral:rRNA from 1 species